AUUGAACGCUGGCGGCAGGCCUAACACAUGCAAGUCGGACGGUAGCACAGAGAGCUUGCUCUUGGGUGAAGAGUGGCGGACGGGUGAGUAAUGUCUGGGGAUCUGCCCGAUAGAGGGGGAUAACCACUGGAAACGGUGGCUAAUACCGCAUACCGUCGUAAGACCAAAGAGGGGGACCUUCGGGCCUCUCACUAUCGGAUGAACCCGGAUGGGAUUAGCUAGUAGGCGGGGUAAUGGCCCACCUAGGCGACGAUCCCUAGCUGGUCUGAGAGGAUGACCAGCCACACUGGAACUGAGACACGGUCCAGACUCCUACGGGAGGCAGCAGUGGGGAAUAUUGCACAAUGGGCGCAAGCCUGAUGCAGCCAUGCCGCGUGUAUGAAGAAGGCCUUCGGGUUGUAAAGUACUUUCAGCGGGGAGGAAGGCGGUGAGGUUAAUAACCUUGCCGAUUGACGUUACCCGCAGAAGAAGCACCGGCUAACUCCGUGCCAGCAGCCGCCGUAA
rnacentral:rRNA from 1 species